rnacentral:rRNA from 1 species
AUACGUAGGUGACAAGCGUUAUCCGGAUUUACUGGGCGUAAAGGGCGUGUAGGCGGUCUUGCAAGUCAGAAGUGAAAUUCCUGAGCUCAACUCGGGCGCUGCUUCUGAAACUGCAGGACUUGAGUGCUGGAGGGGAUAGCGGAAUUCCUAGUGGAGCGGUAAAAUGCGCAGAUAUUAGGAAGAACACCGGUGGCGAAGGCGGCUAUCUGGACAGUAACUGACGCUGAGGCGCGAAAGCGUGGGGAGCAAACAGGAUUAGAUACCCUGUUAGUCCACGCCGUAAACGAUGAAUACUAGGUGUAGGGGGUAUCGACUCCCUCUGUGCCGCAGUUAACACAAUAAGUAUUCCGCCUGGGGAGUACGGCCGCAAGGUUGAAACUCAAAGGAAUUGGCGGG